rnacentral:tRNA from 1 species
GAGGAUAUAGCUCAAGUGGUAGAGCACAUGCUUAGUAUGCACCAGGUCCUGGGUUCAAUCCCCAGUACCUCCU